AUGGCCCGUACCAAGCACCCGGCCGUCAGGAAGACCAAGGCGCCGCCCAAGAAGCAGCUCGGGCCCCGUCCCGCGCAGCGGCGGCAGGAGACAGAUGGCGCGGGCACGUCGGCGACACCGAGGCGAGCCGGGCGGGCGGCGGCCCCAGGGGGCGCUGAAGGGGCAACUGGGCAACCCAAGCAGAGGAAGCCACACCGGUUCAGGCCAGGCACGGUGGCACUGCGGGAGAUCAGGAGGUACCAGAAGUCGGUCGACUUUCUCAUCCCGUUUGCACCAUUUGUCCGUCUGAUCAAGGAGGUCACCGACUUCUUCUGUCCUGAAAUCAGCCGCUGGACUCCCCAAGCGCUCGUCGCGAUUCAAGAGGCUGCAGAGUAUCACCUCGUCGACGUAUUUGAAAGGGCAAAUCACUGUGCCAUCCAUGCAAAGCGUGUUACCGUCAUGCAAAAGGACAUACAGCUCGCGAGGCGUAUCGGUGGGAGGAGGCUUUGGUGA
rnacentral:rRNA from 1 species